UGCAACAUACUGGGCAUUGCAGCUCAUUGCAGACUCCUAACACUGUUAGACAUAAUUUAUACAAGUAUCGGAUGGUUCUGAUAGGUUUUCGGGGAUUUGCAGCGUUUUGUUAUGUGUUUCUCGUUCGGAGACCCUACCUGGUGGAGGAUGGAAGAUGGAGAGGUACACACGUAGGACCUGUACGCAGAAUUCGUGGAAGAUACAUCCGAGGAUCUCGGACCAACGAAGCCACUCACGUACACAUAAGCUGACCUGUUUCGCACCCUGGUACGCACCGACCAACAGGAACUAAAGCAGUGAGAGCAUGCGCACCUGUCAGCACAUGGCAUCCCACCCGGCAUAGAAGGACGCGUAUUAGGACCGAGGUCUUCCACAGCAUCGCAGUUGCAAUCCCAUGACAGAUCAUGCCUGCGGCGAUGCGUACGGUUGGAGAAGGAGGGGCAAAUGAUGCCGUAUCCCUGCCAUACGUAAUCGUACUACCCAGACCAGUUUUGCCGGAAGUAGACCUACGCUCUUCUAGGCGUUCAUAAUCACUACAGACUUAUGCUAUGGACGAUUCAGUUUACGGAGAGAGGGAGAGAACGUCAAUUUCCAGGGAAUGCGGCAGGCACAAAACUUGGGCAUAGCCGGCAUACAUAUACUCGCGCGCCUGUGCAGCCGCCCUUUCCCUCUGUUGGGGCCUUG
rnacentral:lncRNA from 1 species